CAACCACAACCACUAGUUUCUCCCGACAUGCACCUGCUCCUCAUUAUUGUCACAUUUUGUACCCACUACACUACCAACUCUAAGCCUAUGUUUGGUUUAAAGGAAAGGGGAAGGAAAGAAAGUCAGAGGAAGGAAAGAUGGUGGAAAGUGAAUCUUUCCACUGUUUGGAACAAUCUUAAAAAGUGAAGGAAAGAAAAUUUUAUGUGGACCCCACCCAAAAAUCCUUUCCGCGCUACUUUGGACGGAAAGCGGGAAGAGCGACCAAAAUUUUGGGCAAAAGGACAAUAAUGCCCUUCUCUUUCAUCAAAUUCUAUUUGUCUUUUUGAAUACCCUUCAAAUCAAAAUCCUUCAAAAAAAUUGCUUGCUCUGGUUCUUGUUUACCUUCCAAAAUCAAACUGGUCCAUUUCAUUUGUUCUACUUCCACAACCUUUCAGUUGCUUUGUAAGGUACCAUCCCUAUUCUUCCUUCUCAUAUGGGUUUCUUUGAUGCCAUUGAAUAAAAAUGUGUUGUUGUUGAUCUUGUGCUUUGUACGUGUUCUUUGUCUACUUGGCACACAUUAUGUUGCUUUUGCUUCCUUGUAAAUCAUUUGAAAAGCUUUCUAUUUUAUUUUAUUUUUUGAAAAAUUUAUGAAAUAUAAUGAAGUUUGUGUUGUUUGUGGGUUGUUGCUACUGAUUUUUAACUUUGUUGUGAUAAAGGAUGAUUGAAUAUUUUACACUUAUUCUCUAUCAAAAUUGGUUCAACUGUCUGGAGAUUUAUCUUUGAAGACUGGUUGUGUUAAGGGUAGUACUAGUAGGAGCUAACUUUUCUACAUCUAUGCUACUGUGUUAAGUGAUGCCAUUGAGGGGAAUGUUUUAAUAGGUUUGCUUUGUUUGCUACGGAUCUUAAAUUGGUGUUUAUGCUGGGUGAUUACUUGCUGUCUUGGCUUGGGUAGUUUUCUAGCAGGGUAUGGUAUAGGAGUAGUCUUGUUUCAUUUGGAGAAGAAAAGCCUUGUGAGUGGGAUGGCACUAGACAAGUGGUGUACUGUGUAUUUGUUUCAAGCAUGCCUUAUGCCCUCUUUAAUAUACUUUUCUUGGCCUUUUCCAAAAAAAAAAAAAAUUGGUCCAAUUGAUAGUUAGUCUUAAAAUGGUCAUUUUUUUAUUUUGAUUCUUCUAUUAUAUAUACUUUACUUAUUUGAAUGUGUAUUGAAAAAUAUAUCAAAACUCAUUGAUUUAUUAAAUGUAUAUUCAUUGAAGGUUAACAUUUAUACUCUGAUAUGGAGUUUUUAAUUAAUAAUGAAGACAAGUUUGGUGAUGCAUUGGAUGGUAUAAAGGAAGAGCAGUCCAAAAUAAAACAUUUAACUAAUCUUGGCAUGCAAAAUUUAAGUCAUUUUCGUCGAGGAUUCGAAAAACAACAGCGUCUUUGUUCUGUAGUCUUAUUGUGCUAUAUUGUUCAUGCGUUACAUAUGCUUCAAACAAUGUCACAUUUCAUUCGUAGUCCAAUUAGUCAUGGAAGUCAUGAAAGGGAGCGUAAACGUCUCGAUUUAAUGAGACAAUUAGUACAUACUGAAAAAUGCCGAGACAUAAUACGAAUGGGACCUGAGGCAUUUAUGUUAUUGUGUCAUAAAUUGAGGGGAACUGGUUAUGUGAAGGAUACUAUACGAUCCACAGUUGAAGAACAAGUUGCUAAGUUCCUACACAUCAUUGGUCAUAAUGUGAAAAAUCGCACCGUGUCAUUCUUCUUCCGCCGUUCUGGUGAGACUGUUAGCCGUCACUUUCACAAUGUUUUACGUGCCAUCAUUUCAUUAGAAGAUGAGUUCCUAGUCCAACCUUCUGGUAGGGAUGUACCUCCACAAAUAUUAAACAAUAGCAGAUUCUAUCCUUUUUUUAAGGUACUUAUGCCUUAAAUUCACUUUAAUAUGUUUAGCCUCACAAAUUCAUCCUACAAUUUCAUCACUAAUCAAAUUGCGUAUUUAAUUUAAUAAAAAGGAUUGCAUUGGAGCUAUAGAUGGAACACAUAUUCGGGUAAAGGUCCCAAGAGCGGAAGCCGCACGAUUUCGUGGAAGAAAAGACUACCCUACACAAAAUGUUUUGGCUGCGUGUAACUUUGAUAUGAAAUUCACUUAUGUUUUACCGGGGUGGGAAGGCACAGCAUCUGACUCUAGGAUUUUGAAAGAUGCUUUAAGUAGGGAAGACUCUCUAAAAAUUCCUGAAGGUUAGUAGUCUAUUAAUUUGAUUUGACUAUUAAGUAUCACAAUUUAGAAUUAUAAUAGUUAACACGUCAAAUAAUAAAUUAUAUCACAACUUUUGUAGGAAAAUAUUAUCUUGGGGAUGCCGGUUUUAUGCUAAAACGUGGGGUGCUUACACCUUAUAGAGGUGUUCGUUAUCACUUGAAGGAAUAUUCUAUUCGCAGCCCGCAAAAUUCUAAGGAGUUGUUCAAUCAUCGCCAUGCUUCACUUCGAAAUGUUAUUGAGAGAUGUUUUGGAGUACUAAAGAAAAGAUUUCCAAUUUUAUCUACUGGCACCGAACCCUUUUACUCAUUUGAAGUCAUGACAGACAUUGUACUUGCUUGUUGUAUAUUGCAUAACUUCUUAAUGGGUGUUGAUGUUGAUGAGACCUUAAUUGCUGAAGUAGAUCGUGAGUUACUUCAACAAGAGAUUGAUAGAUCCCAACCACAACAACAACGUGAUGAUGACUAUAGAUUGGGAACAAUUUUAAGGGACGAUGUUGCUAUCAGAAUGUGGAAUGUUUAUCCAAUAUGAUAACACUAUAUAAGUAAUAUGUAUUUCUAAUGUGUUGUUUUUUUUUUGUGUAAUGUGACUACAUGUGUAGAAUGUAGUACAAAACUUGUGUUCUAUUUGUGUAUGGUUUUGGGAAAUUACAUGAACAUGAUUAUGUUGUAGUAGAAUUAUCCAGUGGUAUGCAUUACUAAUAUUUCUUAGUUUACUCAUGUUAUUUUUGUGGAUGAAUUUCUCAUAAGCUAAUAUUCAUAUGAAAAUGGAUACAUCAACUUGUGUCCUUUUGAAAUUUAUAUGCAGCUACUACAAUGCCAAAGGGAAAAACCACUCCAUCAGAUUCUAAUCACCCUGGUAGAGAUAGCCUACAAUGGAAUGAUGAAAUGGAUCAAAUGUUGUUGAAUGCUUUGGGUGAAGAGGCAAAUAAGGGAAAUAGGCACGAUGGUGCUUGGACAACACAAGCAUACAACAACAUGGUCGAAGCCUUAAGAUCUACAAUUGGACCAAAUAUCACAAAGAAUCAUAUAAAGAAUAGAAUGAAGACACUAAAAAAUCAUUUUGCUGAAGCUUACGACUUGUUCCAUAGCUUAAGUGGAUUCUCUUGGAAUUCAAUAACUCGAAAAUUUGAUGCUGAGGACGACGUCUGGGAAGAGCUGAUUAAAGUAAUUAGCAUUCUUAUCCUUUAUUUGAUCACUUGACUUUUAUGUUAAUUAUAAGUACCAAAUUGAUCACUUGUCAUUUUUACCUUUUAUGUAGGGAAAGCCACAUGCUGCAAGAUGGAGAAAAAUGCAAAUUAAGCAUUAUGACAUCUUGACUGAGUUAUUUGCAACUGAUAGGGCAAAAGGAAAUGUUGCGAAAACAGCUAAGGAAAGGAGGAAACAAUGGGAGAAGGAGAAUAUUGACUUGAAUAACUAUUUUGAAGAUACAGAAAUGUAUGUGCCAAAUGUUGGUAUGUUUGAUGAAAACCAAUUUUCACCCCCCAACUUUGAGGAUGCUAGUCCACAAAAUGGUCAAACAAAUCCUAGUGGCUUAAAUACUUCAAGGGGUACAAAACGGAAGAGAAAUGUGGUUGAGUUAGUUGAAGAUCAAUAUGAGCGAAUGAAUGAAAGUAUCAUGACAAUUGCUGAAGCUUUGAAAGAGGGAAAUUCUGUUUCUAAGGAGCUGCACCAAGUUGCAGAGCGUCAAGUUGAAGUUGCUGAAAGACAAGUUGCAGUCAUUGAAAAACAAGUUGAAAUUGCUGAAAAACAAGUUACUGUGAUACAACAAACUCGUCCUCGUCAUUAUUCAGAAUCUGAUGUAUGGGAUCUUUUAGAGGAAUUAAGAGUCACAGAUCCAUUUCGCAUGAAGGUUUAUAACCAUUUAUGUGAUAAUGAGCACAAAAAACGUAAGCUUUUUGGCGUACCACCUCAUAUGAGAGGAGAAGCUCUCAUUCAAAUGAUGACUGAUGCAGGUAUAUUUUGUUAAGAGCAUUGGUAGUGCUCCUUUUUUGGUCCUAUAUAUUUAGGACAUCAUGUGAUGCCUUUACUAAUGACAGCCUAUAACGGAUUGCUUUUUUGGAGUGGUUGUGGAUAUGCUCUUUUGUUGGGAUUGUAUAUAUUUAAGGCAUCAUAUGAGACCUUAUUAAUUUAUGACUUAGUCUAUAUUAAUUAUCAUUUUGGGAUAUAUAUGACUUAAGAUGGAAAUUAUUAGUUUUUAUGACUGGAGAUGCAUGGUAACCUGUGACUUUUGUUGUUAUGCUACUUUUGAAUAUGCUUUGGAGUCUGCUAUCCCUUUUGGUACUAUAUUGAUGAUUUUGAUGAUGGAGCCUUAUACCAUCCUUCAGAGGUGUGCAUUCAAUAGAAACUGAAAGGUUUGAGUCAUCUCCCUUUGUUUACAAGUUUUUGUAUUAUACUAUAUUUACAUACACAAUGUUAUAUUUUAUUAUUACACUAAAUAAAUUUAUAGAUUUUUUCACACUUUGACACAAUAUGUUCUGCAGUCACAGUUUUUAUAUAUGCAUUUUUCAAAGGAUAAUAACAAUGAGCUAGUGGUACAGACCUUGAAUAUAUUUUAGAGUUCAUUAAUAAUCUAUACCUCAUAUUUAUGUCUUAUAGUAAUUUCAUAUUAGACUUUUUAUGCCUUGAAGCUACUGUGGAGAUUUUAUAUUGGCAAGGGGUCUAAGUGAAAGUGGCGUAGUCUUUUUUUACUGCAUAAUUUUCUGCAUAAACUCAAUUUGAUGCAGUUAGAUAUUUGAAAGAAAUUUGGUUGAGGCUUUGAAAGAAUAAAUUGAGAGUCUUGUUGAUUUAAAAACACUGAACUUUUAUGCUCAUGAUGUUUAAUCAUCUCAAUGUGUUAUAAUAGUAGUAACUAAUAUAUGGUUUGAAUGUAGGUGCUUUCACCUCUAGUGCAAUACAAGUAGAAGUGCAGCAAGCAACUGGAGCUAUAGUGCAAAGAUGUGUAUACUAAUAUUGUGUAACUAGACUGUCAUUUAUGUUUAAUUUGCACUAUAACAUGUAGUGUAAUUGGCCAAUAUAUGCAUCAUAAUACUCAAACUCAAUAUUUAUAUAUAAAUAGAAUGAUGUUGCUUUAGCACUAACUCAUCCAAGAUUUCAAUUUUAUCUAUGAGGAAUUGAACAACUGGUUCAAUUGAGGGGUACAUUGCUUGAGCAUUAUCUUUUUUUUUGAGAAGGCAAAAGAAAUAAUGUAUUAAAAUUAUGGUACCAGAGAGGUACCAACAAUUGAGUUACAAGAGACAUUACAACAUGGUUUAUCCCACCCAACUACUAGCACCACCUUGAUACAAAUACAAGGAAGCCAAGUACAAAUUUAUUAAAGAAUGAAAUGAGACACCUUUCCUAAAAAAACCAGAGCUGACAGGAAUGAAAGAAAAUUGAAAACACAGCUUGAACCACACCUUAUCAGAGCUAAAAAAAAUAAGAGAGCAUCUUUGAAUGUUAUUCUCAAACAAAAUAAUUCUUAUUAUUCACACUCUAGUGCACACCUGCUAUAAGAAAUUUGCAAAUUGCAGCAUAUCUAUGUUGAUAUCUAGCUGAACAAAUGAAAUUUUUGAGCAUUAUUAAUUUAACUUAAUAAAAAUUAAUGCUAUAAAAACUGCUAAUUUUAUUUUAUUGAAGAUAAGUUGACAUAUUUUAUCUUAAAGGAAUAAAAAAAAUAUAAUUUCAAUAUUAAGCUUGUGUCUGACUUUUAUUUUUUUUCUUUAUUAUUUAAAAUAUAUUUUAUUCUCUUCACCCUCUUUAAUAUUUAUAUAAGGUUAGUUUUGUCAUUUCACAAAUGUACCUCUUCCUUUCCUUAUCACUUUCCAUCCAAACAAACAGGAGAAAAGAAAGUUUUAACUUUCUUUCCUUCCACUUUCCCUUGUACCAAACAACUAAGACAAUCCUUCCACUUUCUACUAUCUUUCUUUCCUUUAACUUUCUUUCCUUCCACUUUCUUUCCUAGCACUUUCUUUUCCAAACCAAACAUAGUGUUACAAGGAAAAUAUUUUCUGUACAAUAAAACGAAGUAAUAAAAUAAUUCUCUUCUUUGAUUUUAAAAUACAAUUUAAAGACACAUGAUUAUUACAAAAUUAAAAUAAGUUAACAUAGAAAUAAUUGUAUCUAAUAUCACAUAUGAAAUUAUUUUUUUAAUAUUUAAAUAAUAAAAUUGCAUGAAAAUAAACAGUGUUUGUGUAUGAUUUUUUUUUUAAUAAAUCUAAUGGAUAUAACUUAGAUGCCGAUGCAUACUGAAUUUGUGAAAAAAAAACUUGUUUGAUCAAGGUGUAUUUAAAUAUAAGACAACUUAAACUCUUGCUUUAUUAGCCCCCAAAAGUUAUUUAACAAAUAUUUAUACAACUAUUAUGGUUAGUUAGUCAAGUAUAGUGGUAAUUAAUGCAUAUAUUUUCUUUGGUAAUUGGAUUUCAAAUUUUGCUGAAGAAAAAUCACUUGUUUUUAAAGUCCCUGAUUUUUAUAUUAUUUUAUUAGUUUUGAAAAGGUGUGAACUUAAAGUUGGUUUUAAGCUAAAUAUGUGUGAGUCAAUCUUGGAUUUGAUUUUCACAAACUUUAACUUUAAGACGAUAAAUUUUAAUUGUAAUUAAGUGCUAGAUUGAAUUUUAGUUUUAUAGUUGACUCAAAGGACCUAUUCUAAUAUAUCAAAAAUCUCACAUCACUUAAAAGUCAAAUCAAAUGGUAGUUUAUACUAGUAAAUACACCUUUAACUCAUAGAGUUAUCUUUUAAUAAAGAUAUAACAAUGACAAGUCAAAAUGUUACACUGAGCACCAAAAUGAACAAUAUCUUGGAAGUAGUGAUCUUAACAUGAGAAAGAUGGCCUAUGCCACUCUUGUUACUUAGUCUUGAUGGGUUUGCCAAAAGUCCUACAUCACUUAGGUGUCAAAACCAAUGAUAAUUUAUGUUCUUACUAGUUUUGACAAAAUCUAUUCACCGUGAUGUUUCUCUAUGUUCUCCUCCAUUGUACGGUAAAGACACUCUGUUACUCAAGUUAGCAGUGCAGAAGUAAGAACAUGUAUCUUAAAGUAGGUUGGAAUAAAGUUGGUUUACCUAAAUCUUGAAGAUUCCUUUUAUAAAUGUGAAAUUGAAUGAUAAGAUCUCAAUUUUCUUCAUAAGAUAAUGUAAAUAAGAAAAAUAUGAUUUUAUCUUUAUCUUUAUCUUUUUGGUAGAAGAUAAAGUUUUUCUCUUACCUUAAUUAUAUUAGUCAAAUUCUCUUAAUAUCAAGUAUAUAUACUACUUGGCUGACCACCAAGUACAAAAGGUUUAUAGCUUAUUAAUACACUAUCACAUGUUGAUCAACGUAACUAGAUUUAACCGUCAAUGUCCACAAUUGGAUGGGAGGACAAAAUUCAUGAUUUUUUUAAAAUAGAUGAAUUAAAGGUUUUAAUUUUAAAAUAAGAAGAUUAAAAUUAUAAAUUUGUACAAAUAUAAAGAGAUCAAAAUUAUAUUUUAAUCUAUUGUAUUAUAAGAAAAAUAUAAAAUAUAUAAUUAAUUAAGUUAUUAUUAUUUAUGCAAAAUUAUUAAUUCAAUUUUUUAUUUAUUUCCUUUUAAUAAUGUAACAUUAUUUUAUUUCUUGCAUACAUGAGGACACGGGGAUCCUAACUAAGUGGAUUAGUGUUAUUUGACAUUUGUAGCUCACUUUUUGAACCACUUGUUCACAAAAUAGAGUAGGCCAUAGUUAAGUGAAGGAACUCUAAUAAAAUAAUGUAUUUAACACAAAAGUAAUGUGAACUUGUAAUAUUCUUUAUAGAGUGCAGGGUUUGCUCAUAGUUUUCUUUUUAAUUUUAUGCUAAUUUUUCAAUAUGAUCGAGAGCUUAUACAUGCAUAUCUGCCUUACGUAUGAGAUAUUUGUUGCACUCAAUUAUAACUUAAAAUAAACUAUAUAAGUACCAGCUUGCUUAUUUUUCACUUUGUGUAUAAUUUAGCUAUCAUUAAAAAAAAAAAUGUUUCCUAAACAUGCUGUUUUAUUUUAUUUUAUUUAUUUUCACUGUUUAUUAACUUUGCAGACAACUUGGUGCGAUUGUAGUGCUCAUAAUGAUUGGCAUCUAGAAGAUCAAUCAUCCAUUCAGCUAUUAUUGUACACUCAUCUAUUACGGUACUUGUUAGUUGUUCACAAGAACACAGACAAAAAAAGCAAGACACUAAUUUUAUUUUUUUUUAUAAGAGACUACAUGUAUCGCAAAAUAAUUGAAUUGAAUUGAAUUAUCAUGGAUAUAAAAUUUUUCUUUUAGAUAAUUGAAAGUGUUAUUUAAAAUACUUUAAAUGACGAAAAAUAAAAUAAUUAUAUUUUUAAGGAAUAAAACUAAAACAAUUAUAGACUAAAAUAAAAAAAAUACUAAAUUAUAAGAACAAAAAAUAUAUUUAAGUUUUAUACUAUUUCAAACAAAACAUUAUUUAUGCUGCUUUUAUUGUCUUUUUAAGUGUCGACUUAUUUUUGAAAAAAAAAUAUUUAUCAUUUUAAAAGAUAAGAUAUUAACUAUAAUUUUUUCAAUUAUAUUUUUUAACCAGUUUUUAAUUAUUUCACACAUUUUUUGUGAAAUGAAAGGAAAUGUGAAAAAUAAUAAAAGACAAAAAUUUAAUUAAUAUCGAUUAAUCUACGUGUUUGCUGAUUCUAAUUAAGACCAAUUUGUAAAACUAAGAAAAAGAAAAAAAUUCAUCAUGCACGUUUUCAGUUCUUUUAUUUUUUUUAGAAUAAAAACGUAAUUUUAAAAUUUAAAUGAUCAAAUAUCACCUAAAUAAGUGAUAUUUGUCCUGUCUCCUACACUCUCUUGGAACCCAUAUGAUGCCGUUCAUUUUUAUGCAUUAAUUUUCAUGAGAAAGUUGGUUUUGAAAGGAUUGAUACUAUAUAAUUAGUCUGAGAGAAUUUGCUGGUGCGUUAUAGUGGGACAUGUGAAAUAUUAAUCAUUUAUUUUAAUUGCAUUAUGAUAAUGAUCAUACGAAUAAUAUAGCCAAAUUAGAUGUGUCUCUUGUCAUUUUACUGUUAAAGAUUUGGCUUUAUCCUUUUGGUCUCAGUCUUUUGCUCUUAUUCUUCACAUGAGAUGGUGAAAUUAAGUCAUUUCAUGACGACCCUUCUCCUACUCCACGUACUAUGUCUCUGGAAAUCAGGAACACCUUUGUCAGGUUUCGUUCAUUCAUGCAUGCAGAGGGAAAAAGAAGACAUAUUUUAUAAUAAAAGCAAGCAAGAAAGAAAAUACUAAAGGAUACAUGUUAAAGAAAAACUAAAAAGUAUUUAUUAUAUUAAUUAAAAAUAUAAAAUAUAUUAUUUAAUACCUUUUUAAAUUAAUUAAAAAUAUUCGGUAGAAUUGAUUAAAUAUUUGUUUAUCAACACAUUUAAAACACUUAUUAAAAAGAGAUGACUCCUUCGAAUCCUCAUCAAAAGUAGUUAGACAAAAAGGGAGUUGUGGAAUAAUAGUUGAUUUGAAUGAUGUGGAAACAUGUAAUUGUAGUAGUUAGGAAGAGAGUUUGAUGAGGUAUGAUUAAUGUAACACUUUUAGGGUUAUUUUAAUAAAUUAUUCUAGAAUUAUGUUAGAUUACUUUUCUUUUUAUUAAGUUGAUGAUACAAUAAGAGACUUGUUUUGUAGUAUCAAAAAUAUGGAAUCGGCAAUUAAUUUAAAAAUUGGUGACCUUUUAGUGUUACUUUGUAGAUUAUUCGUAAAUAAGAAAUGUAUAAAAAUAUGGAAAUAAAAUUUUUCUUGGACACUUAUUUGAAGUUCUUACAUUAUAAAUUUUAAAGGUAAUUUUUUUCAUAAAAAUGACAAAACAGAAAAUUAUAUUUUAAAAUUAUAUGAAAAAUCAGAAAAAAUCUUUUUCGAUUGGGUGUUGAGAAUAAAAAUAUACAAAACACUUUCUUCAAUUUACUUUUUAUCAUUAUUUAACAAUUAUAUAUUAAAAAAUAUUAUUUUUAUCUAAAAUUUUAAAAUUUAGAACUACUUUUUUUUUCUUAUUUAGUCCAUAAAUAAUAAAAUAUUUAGUUUUAUUCCUUAAAAGUAUCUUAAUAGGGACUAAAUGUCAUUUAUUUAGUUAAAUAAAAGAAUUGUGAAAAAUAUAAAAAAAAACAUUAAUUCUAAAAUUUGUAAUUUUUUCUAGUCAAAACAUAUUCAAAAUUUUAAAACUAUAAUAUUAAUAUUAUAUACUACGAGUAUUUAAUAAUAACGCACACCUACACCUAUGUAUUAAGAGCAUCCAUUACUUGAACUUUGACAUAGGUUCUUAGGUUACUUGUUUUGAUCUCACACUAUCAUAUACUUCAACUGUUGAUAAUUAUAAGAUAUUUAAAAAAAAUUAUUUGUUUCUUUUCAUAAGAAUUUUUUUUAAUUUCUAGACACGUAAAUUGUUUUUUUUUUCUUAUAUAUAUAUAUAUUCUUACUUAAUUAUUAUUUCUCCAAACAUUAAUAAAAAACAAGUGAAUAAAAAUAAAAUAAAAAAAUAUUUAAAUGAUAUUAUAAAUAAUUAAAAAAUUCAAUAUGAUAACUACUUAAACGAUACAAAUUAGUUAAAAAGUCCUAUAAUUAAAUACGGAAUGAGUAAAUUUUAAAAACUUUAUCGAUUGUUACUCCAACAAUAACUCACUAAAAUUUAUCAACUGUCUNNNNNNNNNNNNNNNNNNNNNNNNNNNNNNNNNNNNNNNNNNNNNNNNNNNNNNNNNNNNNNNNNNNNNNNNNNNNNNNNNNNNNNNNNNNNNNNNNNNNUGAUGACACCACUCAUAUGUCACGUUGUAUUGGAGCAAUAAUGUAUUGGAUAGGUUUGUCAUGAGAAUAGUAACAUGAAAUUUGUGAGUGUCAUAAACGCUUUUCAAAAUAAUCAUUGUCAUUUGUCUAUGUAGUCCUCCAACUAGAAAUCAAUACAAUUUCCAUGUCAGAAGUUAUGAGAUUUAAUUUCCAUUAAACGCCAUAUAUAAAAAGAUGACUAUAAUUAAAGUGGUUGUUGGACAUUAAACGAACCAUAUGUAAAUGAAUGUGCGUGAGUGACUUAGAUGGAAUUCAUCCCUUACAUAUAACUAGAGUGAUAUCUUUGAGACCUUUUGAUAGAGCAAGACAGUAAAAUAUGUGGUCGUCUUACAAUGUUACGAGAACUUAUAAGAUUAAACAGAAGAUUAAUUGGAACAAAAGAGAAAUUAGAUUCAUCAACAUGAUAUAAUAUGGUUGAUAAAUAACUUUAUCUUUUAAUUAUGUGGUUAAGAAUCUAUGAUUAUGAAAAAAUAUCAAUUAAGAAAUGUUAAUCCCUUAAUUAGAUUUUUGUUUCUCAAGAAAUUAGUCUUUAGCUCAAAGACCCAGAGAUAUCUAGGUUAAAAAAAAAAUAGAUUGGGCUCUAAUUUUCGUGGACCAGACUCAUAACGUAUGAGUCUAUAAGACUUAGCAUACCUCACUUAUUAGAAAGGAGUGUUAUUAUAAAUUGUCUGUGGGUAGUAAGGAGGGGAAGACACCCUACCAAUUAAAACCACGAGGGGGAAGUUAAAAGAAUAAGAAUCGGCCAAUGUAACACCUGGUUUGUUUGAUAAAAUAAAAUAAAAUAAAAUAAUUAAUUAAUUAAUCAAAAGAGGGUUUUUAUAAUUAAUAAAAGAAACUAAAAAAAUAGGAAUGAAAAUGAGGUCAUCAGAUUUUUCAUUAUAUAAAGGAAUUUUUAACCAAAGUAGUUUUACAAAACAUUUUUUACAUUUUCUGUUCUUUUUACUUUGACAUUCAAGAACUCUAGCAGAGCUAUCGAAGGAGGAGCUCUAGAGAGUACCAAAAACGUCACCAUUGUUAACAAAGAAUGCUUGAACGAUUACAUCAAGGUAAUGGAUGAGUUACUCACUCUUAAGAAUUAAAAUGAUCACGUGUAGAGAUCCCUAAAGGAUCAAUUUUUUGGAUUAUUUUGAGUUGUUUUAUGAAAUUCAAUUUUAUUCUUAUGCUUUUAAUCAUGAAUUUAUUAUGUUUGAUGGACCAACUGAUGUCCUGAUGCGAAAUUGAUGUGUGAAUCCUAGAAAUUGAGUCCUUUUCUAAUUCAAUUAUUUUUUCCUCUAUUGUAUAAUUUUUUUUAGAUGCUCGUAACAUUUUCUCCUUUUGCCAAUGAUAAAUUUGCCAAAUUGUAUUUUAUUGGUGGAAUAAUUAUGAAAAGUUGUGAUUAAUUUUUGUGAUGAUGGUACAGUGCAUGAAAUCAAGUUGUUUCUAAUUGUUGGAUUUCCAUGGCUUAGUUGGAAUGCAUUUAGGAUAUGCGUAUAAUGUUUUCCAUAUACACAAAUAUAUGUAUAUAAGUUUCUGAUUGUUAUUAUCUAUGUAUGAUAUGUACACACACCCACACACAUAUUUAUCUAAUAAUCUGUGUAAUCACACAACUAUAAGACUCUUUAAAGAAGACGAGUUCAUGCACGGUGAGUUUUGUGAUGGGCUCCACUGUGGGAACCUGACGAGUUCAAUCACUAGAGGCGCGAUGAGUUAAAAAGAUUUUGAAAAUAAUUGAGAUUUUGAAAAUAAUUCAGUAGUUGUGUGUAUUACAUAGUUCAUAGAUAAAGUAUAUGUGUUAAAAUGUUUUUUGGAUUGAAUCUGAAUCAGGAGGGAGAGGCCCUGACAGACUUCUCGAAGUCUAGGCCUUGGGGGUAAAUACACUUAGUUUGACUACUCCUUUAAGUCUGUGUCAAUCCCACAUGAUUGGAGUAUUCUCGCAAAAUAAAGUGACCCUGACUGGUCUCCCUGUGAUUUCACCUAGUGAGAGUGACCUAACUGACUCAUUGUGAGACAUGUCUUGUCAUGUACUCCUAGGCGCCAAACAAGGUUUUUCACUGAAAAUGGUAUCACAUUGCAUGUAGGCUUGAGUCUAGUGUAUCUGUUGCAUAACACUUGUGUUUGAUUUUCAUUAAGCUAACGAUUCAGGUUUUGGUGUUAUUUUCUGGAGUGUGUGAACUUGAAUAAGUGUGAAUAAUGUGUGUGAUUUUGUGAAGUAAUGUUGUUUAUGUAAAUUUAGCUCUAAGUAUUAUAUGUUUCACAUGCUCUAGUGUUUUAUUAUAUACGAAUGUGAUAACUCAUUCUCGAUGUGUGUUUAUGUUUGGGCUGAAUGUCAUUUUGUUUCACGUGAGCCAACAUAUGAUGAGUUUUAUGCUGAAGAUGAAGAGACUUAACCUUUGCCAGGGAAAUAUUUUGAUAAAUGUGACAUUAUGGCAUGUGAUUUUUAUUUCAUAUGUUACAAUUCUAUGAAUAGUAUAGUUGUUUUAUAUUUUCCGCUAUUAGUUUGACUUCUUCUCAUUCAGAAUGGACAACCUUGUUUUGAAUCGAGAUAAUUUUAUUAUUUAUUUGGACAAGUUCUAUUAUGAUGUUAGAAAAGUAAAUGUGAAUCUUUUACCUUUUUGAAAUUCUUUUAUUUAAAUAUAUUUUAAAACUUUUAAUUAAUUUUGUAUUUUUAUUUAUUUUAUUAUUAGUACAUAUAUGUAUGAGGUAAAGGAUGUCACCGCACACCAAAAGCAUUGAAAUGAAAGGGAAUGAAAUCAGGUAUAAAAACUUACUAAUAGCGCCACUUAAGGUUUUGUAAAAAUCUAUCUAUAGAUACUACUAAAAGAAUAGGCGGUCAAAAUGACCAAAAUAGUCAUUAUUUUUUGUUGACAUGUGUUAUUUUUUUGGUUUUUUUGUCUUUUCAGUUACACUAUGUCGACACCCAAACAAAAACGCAAAAACAGUGAGAAGAUUAAAAUGAAAGCCAAAGCGAAGAAUGAGGAAUACUGACAUAACACGUUCUUUCUGCUUCCCAGUUUUUCAAUAAAAAAAAUUCAUAUUGCAGGAACAAAAAAUUUGAUCAAUUUUAUAUAAUUUAACUUCAUUUUAACAUAUAAUUUAUUUUUUAAAAUAUAAAUAAUAUUAUAUAUUUUUGAAAAUAUAUAGUAUUUAAUAUAUAAUAUUUAAUUUUUAGGCUGCAUAAGUCCCAUGUUAUUUUAUUGUUAAUUUUUCUUUCAUUUACACUCUUUUUUCAGUAAAGAAACACACCCUUAAUGCAGUAGUAUGUUUGUUUGUUUUAGUAUAAAUAUUUUCUUUUCCUAUAUAUUUUAGUAGUAGGGAAUUUUUUAAAAUUUGAUAAUUAUUUUUUUAUUACUUCAAAAAAUAAUUUGUUUUUAUUAGUCCUACAGUUUUUUUACAAGUUAUUUUUAGUUUCUCUUAUUCUUUGUGUUAAUGAUAUCACAAUUUAUUUGAAGUGAUUUCUCAUUGUUAAAAAUGUUUUUUAUAAUUUAAUAUAUAUAUAUAUAUAUAUAUAUAUAUAUAUAUAUAUAUAUAUAUAUAUAUAUAAUAUAAAAGAGUGUUAAUUGUUAUUCAUGAGCUUUAUUUGCAUUAAAAAUAGGAGAAAAAGUAGCAAUGUACCUCUAAUUUAUGGUUUCUUUUGUGAAAUUUGUAAAUAAUUUAUUCUUGUGUGAAUUUAUACAGGGAAACUCCAUUUUUUGACUAAUGUUGAAUUUAAUUGGGUUUUUAGGCUAAAGAAGAGAAGAAGUUGAAAUGUUGUUGAAGGGCUCGCUCAGCGAGUCAAAUUGGCUAAGCGAGGCUUAUCCGCUUAGUAAGGAAGUCAGCUCGCUAAGUGAACACAAAACCCUAGAGGAUGUUAAGCUAGAGAGUAGCACGCUUAGUGCGCAGCCAGUCCGUCCAACGAGGAUGUUAUCUCUUUUCGCGCUUAGUGUGUCUAAGCUCGCUUAGCGUACAAUCACUUACUCUCGCUCAGCGAGACAUGCUCGCUGAGCGCACCUUUGUAUGCUGAGAAGCCUAAAAACCUUUAAAAACACUCAGAAGAGAGGAAGUUAGGGGGACAAACUACAUGAGACAAAAGGAAGACGACACCAAAGCUAAAGAGAAGACUUUUGCUUCAUACUUUCAUCAUUUUCUUUCAUUCAAACGUUGUUUCCCCCUUGUAUUGAGCCCUCCUUGCUAAUGUAGGGCUAGAAACUUCAUUGUUGGGGGAGUUUUUCUACUGAGCACUCUUAAUGUAAAACUUCUAACUAUCUAUUGAAUAUUAUUUCUAGUGUUCUUUGUUUCUAUCUAUGUUUAUUUUACGUACUUAUAACUUGAUCAUUCAUUUGUAUGCUUGGUUAGGUUUUGAAUGUUGGAAAAUGCUUAGAAUCCUUAGAACUUGGUAGAGCAGCUAGAGGUCUGUAUAUCUAGGAAUAGAGUGCAGUAAUCUAGUAUAUUUUUCAUCUUGUGCGUAGUUCAGCUCCCUUAGAAUGAGUUUGUUGAGGAAUCAAGAACAAAAACUAAGAGAGUUAGACUCUUUUAUGUGAAGAAUCAUGGCUUGAGUAAAUCAACGGUGCAAGAACGUUAGAGUAAUGUUAAAUAGAUAAAAACCUAUUAGUACGACAAGAGGAAGUUCAGUAGAAUACUCCCCAACGCUUUUAUUUUGAUAUUCAUUUCGUUCUACGUCUUUGUGUUCAUUUUGUUAUUUGUUUAAGUUUAGCAGAAUUUAUUAAAGACAAUCAAACCAUGAAUGAGUUUCUCUAUUUUUAUUAACGAAGUUGAAAAUGUUUACAUAAUGAAUAUACAACAUCUAAGUAAAACAAAUUUCAUGUGGACACGAUACUUGGACUUACCGUUUUAAAUACUACUUGUGCAAAUUGAUAUACUUGCCAGUAAGUGAACAAAGAGUAGACUAGCAAAAACAUCAGUUUAAAAGAGUAUAUAAAUAUAUAAAAGAGGAUAGUAUGUUGAGACUUUCUAAUACCACGGAUAUAUAAAUUCUGUGUGUUAAUAGUAUCACAAUUUAUUUGAAGUGAUUUCUCACAAUUAAAAAUAUUUUUUAUAAUUUAAUAUAUAUGUUAAAUAUAUAAAAUAGUAGGCUAGCAAAACACCAGUUUAAAAGAGUGUAUAAAUAUAUAAAAGAAAAUAGUUUGCUGAGACCUUCUAAUACUUCUAAUAUCAUGGGAUGAUCUCCUUGAAUAUAAAUACAUCAGUCUUAGUAGUAUAAGAGAUUUUAUAUGAAAGUUAAUCAAUCAUAUUUUUUUUUUCAAUUUAACUUAUAACCUUCAAAAAAUAAUUUGUUUUUAUUAGUCCUACAAAGUUUUUAAAAGUUAUUUUUAGUUUCUCUUAUUGUUUGUAUUAAUGGUAUCAUAAUUUAUUUGAAAUGAUUUCUCAUCAUUAAAAAUACUUUUUAUAAUUUAGUCUAUAUAGUAAAUAUAUAAAAAAGUAGGUGAGCAAAAAUACCAGUUUAAAAGAAUAUAUAGAUAUAUAAAAAAAUAUAAUUUGUUGAGACUUUCUAUUAGUAGUAUAAGAAAUUUUAUAUGAAAGUUAAUUCAAAAGUUUGAUUUCUGUAAAAGUUUUCGUAUCAUUAAUCAAUCAUAAUUUUUUUUUUCAGUAUAACUUAUAAAAUAAAUAUUAUAAAAUUAAUAAAUUUAUCAUAUAUGAUAAUUUUAUGAUUAAAUAACAAUAUAAUUUAUGCACAUAUUAUUCAUUUAUUAAAUUAUAGUUGGAGAGGAUAAAAUUAUUAAAGUUUAUAAGCCAUUUUCAUUUAUUUUUUAAUAAAUAAAUUGUUGGUCCAAUUAUAUGACUCUAGUUAUCCUAUAUUGUUGCUUAAACAUGGGAGAAAUGAGAAUUUUGGAAAUCGAAAAGAGAAAGAGAACAGCAUGGUAAAUACAUGGGACAGGACGCACUGCAUACUCGUAGUAAUAUAAAUGGAGAUGUCUAUUUUUUUUAGUAAUGGAUAGGAUCAAACUCCUUUUAUUCACCAAAAAAUAAUUUGGAAAAAAAAUUAUAAGUGACUUUUUAUACUUUUUAGCAUGUUUUACUUUUUAAUCUAAGGACAAUUUCACUAUUAAAACAAAAAAAAAUUAAGUAAAAAGCAGUGAUCUAUGCAUAUAGACGGAUAUAUGACUGGUUAAUAUAGAAAAAGAUAGUCAUACACUACAUAUCAUGUCACAGUGUACUUAUUUUGACACGUGCUCCAGUAUAUAUUCAUAAAAAAAAAAAAAAAAGAUACAUAAUAUAACAAUUAGUUAGAAUAACAAAACCAAACAUUAAAGAACAGAAAUAGGUUGAAAAUUAAAUUAUAGAAAACAAUCACUCCCAUAUGCACCGAAUUUGAUGUGUGUGCCUGUAAUCACAAGUUAGCACCAAUUUUCUAUCCAUUCUCUUCAAUACAAAACUUUCCACCAAUGCAUAACAACUAAAUUUCCUCCACCUGUUUGUUCCUCCAAACUCCUCAACUCUUUCCACUCUCACUUGCCUUUGAUUCCCAGCAAUCCAUCCAACUCUUUCUUGCUCCCAUCUCAUUCUAUCAACAAUUUUCAAACUCAGCCCAACACUUGUAAUUUCCAACCCCUCAUCGUCAAAACUCUUAAACCACACCACCCUCUCACCAUUCUCAUUCCAAACAGCUUCCCUUCCUGCAAUCUUUGCAACUUCUGUUUGAACAACAACAUCCACAAACACAGCCAGAUUUUCUCCAUCAUUAUUUUCCUUUGAAAAUAUCUUCUCCCAUCUUUGCUUAAGUGUCAACUCAUAGAACACUGUCUUUUUCAUCUGCUCCUUCAAUUUCAUUAAUCUUUCCUUAACAAACAUAAAAGGGCAGUACCACUUUCCAACAUCCACUGAUUCAGACCUAUCAUUGGACAGUGGGAAUACGUUGAAAUCAGGAAGCUUGGCACGCAAGGAAUCAUCAGAGCCUAAAGCUUCACCUAAAUGAUAAUCUGUGGGAGUAUGAGCAUAAACACGCCACCCUUUUCUUCUCAACAGACCAGGAAGAAUUCCAUCUGGGGCAACGGAUUUUGCUUUGAAAUCAUUAUUCACCCUCUUGAUGAUUUCAACCUGCUGAUAAUCGUCAGAGGGAUCCAAAGGUCUUGGUUUAACAUCUUGGACAAAGCUACAACAUAAAAACGUCUCCAUGUCCUCUUCUUUUGAACUUGUGCUAGCUUGACUGAAAUCAAUUCAAGUUUCAAAAAUAUUAAUGUUUGGACUAAAGUAGUAAUUAUAUUGCAUGUUUUGAUAAACCUCAAUAAACAUUUACAGGGAAGAAAAGUACAAAGGUAUUGGGCUUCUUAAGCAAAAAUCAAUUCAUGUAUGUACCUUAAAUUUUGGAGAAGUUAAAUGAAAAUCUAUAAAAGUUAAGAAUCAAUCGAUUUUACUUGUCAAAAUAUUUAAUGUAUUUUAUAUCAAUUUAUAUGUCUUAUAUUCUUCUCCUAUAAAUACUUAUCGAUAAGUUUAUAUAUAAACAUGUGUAACAUUAUCUCUUCCACAAAUUAUGUAUAAACUGAACAAAAUGUGAAAAAAACAUGUGAUGCCUUCUUGUGUACUAAUGUGUGUUUGGUUAGCUUAUGUUAAAAAUAUGAUUGCUUAUUUAUAUAAGCUUCUCGAGAGAGCUUAAAAUAAAAGUAUUAAGUUUAAUUGAUCAUAAAGAAAAGUGAUUAUAAUUCAUACUAUACCCUUUAUGCUUCCCCUUCCUUUUUAUCACAUAGUAGCGGUUCGAAGACAAGGGUUGAUUCAAUACUGGAACAAACAAGUCUUCUUCACCAUCGCUUCCAUAGUUGAUUGAUAAGUUUUUGUUCUGAGGAAAAGGAAGAUCCCUUAUAGCUCUGUCCUUGAACAAACCAAAGAAAGAGUAAGCCUGGGCUUCUUUAUCAAGGAUUACAAGGUAACCUGAAUUUGGCCCUAGUGGAGGGUCUGAAACAGCACUAGGGUUCCUUUUGUACAUAGAAAGGGGUCUUGUCACAUACAUUGUCUAACCUUAACAAUUAAUCUUCGAUUGUUUUUGUUUCACAUAUAUAUAUGCACGCAUUCCAGGGAAAUAUAAAAUACUUUGUCUUCUUAUCCAUAUGUAAUGUAUGUGUUUAUCAGUUGAUAUUGACAAAAGGGUCAAUUUCACACAUUGUUUUUCGGUAUAUUCUUAUUAGGGUAUAUAUGAUACACGCUCCUUGGUUCUUUGGAAAAAUCAAUCUCAUGGUAUAAUUCUCUUGUCUAUAUUGACUUGGUUGGUCCAUUCUAUAUUUCAAUGAUGAUUUUUUUUAAUCAGUCAAAUUAAAUUCAUUAAUGAAGGACACAAAUCACACCGAUAAUUUCAAGAAAUUACAAAGGGAAUUACUCAACUGUCCAUAUGUUGGUUACUCAAUAUUAAAAGAUAAUCAAUCAAAUAAUUAAGCUUUGACAGAAAUAAUUCUUAAUUAAUAAAAUAUUACUUGUUAUUUUUGGAUUAGUGAAGACAUCUUCUCCUUAUGAAUAAAAGGGUUAAGACAAAAAAAAAAUACUAAAAAGCAGUCAAUCUUUUAAUAUGCUGUGACUCACGUGCACAUGCAGUAUCAUAACACUAAUAACUGCACAAGUAUAUCCCCUCCCAAAAUCACGCUAAUCUCUACGUACGUGCAUAUAUUAACAAACAAUUCAGUUUCCCUCUUAAUUAGAGACAAUUGAUAUAUACAAGCUUCAGGAUUGAUUACCCACUAUGAGAAAGAGUAGCAGAAUCCCUCGAUUUAUAAUUUAUAUAAGAUAACUUUGGCGAAUCUAUCAAUUUAUAAUUUAUAUAAAAAUCCUUUAUUGAUUUAUAAUCUAUGAAUCCUGAAGUAGGAACUGAGGCUUUGGGAUUUGAUCUCACACACAAAAGCUACAUGUAUUUGUAUAUUUUAUUUUUCAUGGCGCAUUACCAUGUCUAUUAAGAGCUUUAUUGAUGGACCUGACAGCCUUGACCGAUUUUAUAUGUUUUUUACAAGAACAAAUGAUCAAUUUAUUGGUAAUGGACCAGGCUAGCUGUUUUUUGAUGUAGAGACACAAACAUAAUUUUUUUUUCCUAGAACACAAUUUCCUCUUUAAAUAAAUCAUUCUCACUCAUAUGAACGCAAUAAAAUUUUACAUCACUGUGUCAAUCCUUUGGGUUAAAAACAAACAUUUGAGGAAGUAUCAAUUACUUAGGAGAUUCACUCAUUACCCUCAAUCCCUCACUAAUAUUUAUUUUCAUAAGAUCUAAUUAUAACUAAUAACUAAUUUUAAUCAUUAGAUUUCAAGAAAAUAAAUCAUCAAUUCUCAACUUUUUUUUCUUUCAAAUUCGACUGCUUUAGUCUCAAUCUUCUUGUCUUAUUUUUGUCUUUCUAAUUUAUAAAUACUUCAGUUUUUGUCCUUAAGGUCCAAGUCAUUGACCCUCUUUUCUUUUUCUUUGGGAAAGCCUUCAUCUCUAAUGUUAUCACAAUUAAGCGUGUUGAAGGCCUUUGAACUCAUAUGGGUCUUAAGGUCAAUUACCACAAAAGCUUUAUUGGAGCUAUUGGGGUUAAACUAAUGUCUUGGAAAGGUUCGCCACUAUCAUGAAUUGCAAUCUUAAUAUUACUAAACUACCAUUUGUGUAUCUUGACAUUCCCAUUGAUGUCAAUCUUAGAAGGAAAAAUACUUGGAAGUCGGUUGUUGAUAAAGUGACUAGAAGAUUGAGCUAAAGGAAACAUUGAUCCUUAUCCAUGGCGAGUAGAAUUUGCUUAAUUAAUUUGACAAUCUCUUCCCUCCCUCUCCUUUAUAUUUCUUUCUUUAAGAUGCCCUUGGGCGUGGGGAAGAAAAUUGAGAGACCCCGAAACUUCUUUGGGGGUUAAUAAGAGCUCAAAUUCUCAUAUUUUAUGAUGGUGAUGAGUGUAGAGUGUUUUUUUUUUAAAGACACAAACAAUUCAUAUAUAAAAGAACAAUAGACAACCACAAGUAGUGGCAAUCCCAAGCAAGAGUUACAGAAAAUAAUAACAAAGUUGGGUGACAACACCCCAAUAAAACCCCCUAUUUACAAAAACAAGACAAUGAAGCAAAACAAGAAGACACGACACCCAAAAACCACUCCCACGGAUUCCUAUUUAGCAUAGCCAAUGAACUUGAGCCUUCCCAAAAUGAAUGCUAUCGAUAACAUAAUACUGAUGACUCAAAUAAAGUAUCUAGUGUGACACCCUCUACUCCAUACAUAUAUGUAUUAAUAAUAAAAGAAAUAAAAAUUCAAAUAUUAAUUAAAAGUAUUUAAAACAUUUUUUUAAAUAUAAGUCUUUCAAAAGGGUAAAAGGCUCACAUUCACCUUUCUAAUAUCAUAAUAAAAUUUGUCUAAAUAAAUAAUAAAUUCACUUUGUCUCAAAACAAGACCGUCCAAAACUUUAUACAAUUAAUAUAAAACAUAUACCCUAAUGUCAUAUCCUAUCAGAGCAUUGUGUUCCCGUGUCCUCUAGUAUGAGAUUCUUCAUAGUCAUCCACCUAUUCAUCUGCUCCCACGAAUAUAAGGUUCGAGAUCAUCAUAGGAUUCAAACACAAAUAGCACACUGGGAGUGAGUUAUCAUAUUCCUAACUAAUGAAGAGUAACGAUACAACAUGUAGGUAUAAAUAUCAUAAAAACAAAAUAAAACUUACUUAAACAUAGCUUACAUCAUUUCACCACUUUGUCAUCCAACAUCAUAUCAUCACACAACACAUUUCAUUCAUUUUCACAACAUUCACGUACUCAAAGAUCAAAACACAAUGUCAUCAAGUCAAUCAAUAUCGAUCAAUAUACAAGUGUUAUGCAACAUAUACACUAAGACUCAAUCCUAUAUGGAAUGUGGUACUAUGUCAGUGAAAAAUCACGUCGAGCGCCUAGGAGUACAUGACAAGACAAACCACACACUAGCAAGUUAGGUCACUCUCACUAGGUAAGAUCAUAGGGAGACCAAUCAGGGUCACGGUGUUUUGCGAGAAUGCUUCAACCAUAUGGGAUCAACAUAGGCUUAAAAGAGCACUCAAACCGGGUGACCCCCAAGGCCUAUACUCCAAAGAGUCCGUCAGGGCCUCUCCCUCCUGAUUCAGGUUCAACCUAGAAAACAUUUUAGCACACAGACUCUAUCUAUGAACUAUACAAAACACACGACUUCUCAAUUGUUCUCAAAUAGUUUAUCUCGUUGCCCUUAAGGGUCUUAGCAUUAACUCGUCGUCCUUAAAGGGACUUAGUAUUAACUUGUCGCCCUUAAAGGGACUUAGCAUUAACUCGUCGCCCUUAAAGGGAUUUAGCAUUAACUCGUCGCCCUUAAAGGGAGUUAGCAUUAACUCGUCGCCCUUAAAGGGAGUUAGCAUUAACUCGUCGCCCUUAAAUGGACUUAUAGUCGUGUGAUUGUACAAUUCAUAGUUCACAACUCAAUGCACACAACAUCUCAAUCACAUACAUACAUAAUUUAUCACAUACACUCGAUCUCAAUCACAAUGGUAUAAUCUCAAUUAACAUGUUAUCACACCUCAUGAAUCAUAUAUACUUUACCUAUGAACUAUGCAAUACACAUAACUACUCAAUUGUUUUCAAAAUCAUUUUAAAUUGUCGGGUUCCCACAGUGAAUCCCAUCACAAUACUCGUCGCCUUAAAGGGUCUUACAAUUGUGUGAUUGCACAGUUCAUAGCUCACAGUUCGAUACACACAUCUCAAUACACAUCUAUUUCACCAUUAAUCACAGGUUCAAAUUAUCACAUACUCAAAUUUGAAUCACCAUUUCAUAAUCUCAAUAUAACAAUUUAUACAAAAAGUUUAUCACAACAUAGGGAGUAAAACCCCUCAAAUAAUUUCACACAAUUAUACCAAAAUUAAUUAAUCAAAAUCAUAGAUAUAAAAAAAUAAAAACACCAAGAUCACUCUAUUUUAUCAACCAAUUUUUAUCAGGACAUCAAUAAUGUAUUUAUAAUAAUAAAGGGAAAAUUAUAAUUUAAUAAACAUCCCAAAAUAAACUCAAUUUAGUUUUCUAAGGAUCCCUACACUUGUUCAUUCUAACCCCAAUUGCGAUAAACUCAUCCUUUACCUCUAAGCGGGCUCACGUGUCUUCCAACAGCAAUAGAGGCAUCUCUAGCAAGUUCCUGAGAUUCUUUAAUUUUUUUCUCUGAUUGCUUUGAUAGGAUUCCUAAACGUCAAAGAGAAAAAGAGAUCGAAGCCUCCAUUUUUUACUGUCUUCAUGCGAUUCUGUUUUCUCUCUCCAUGGAUAUUAUUUCCCAAAUCCCAACGGUAAAGUUGUACCAAAUUGAAUCAUGAACCAAAUAUUAAAAGUUUAAGACAAUCCAGCGGUUAAAAAAUCCGGGUUCGUAGUUUUACCGAGACAGUUUUGGGUUUUUGCGGGAAAAGAAAAAGGCUAUGAUGCGAAAUGUAUUUCUCUCAGUUCCAACAUGAUUUCAAAUUCUCAAUGGUGAAAAGGCUCAAACCUGGUGCUUAAAUUUCACAACAAUCCAACGGUGAAUGAGUUUGAGAUUGUCUUUUUUUAAGAUAGGUUUGGUGGUCGGUGACAAAAAGAAAGAAUUUUGGAAAGAGAAGAGAGAAAAAUGAAAAUGAGGGAAAGAGGAGACAUAAUAUAUGACUAUUUAUACCUAAAUACUCAUAACUUAUUAUUUACUCUAUUUAUUUAUUUUUAUUAUUUUAUAUAAAGAAAUUCUAUUUUAUUUUCUAUCAAAUGAAUAAAUCAAAUAUAUAUAUAUAUAUAUAUAUAUAUACAAACAACAAACAAUUAUUUUCAAAGUAUUAUUUCAUUACAAUUAUUAUUUUUAUUUAUUUAAUUAUAAAAAUCUCACUAUUCUCUCUUAAACUUUAUUUAUUUAUUUAUACUAAAAAAUCUUUUUAAUUUACUUUAAAAAAAUGGAUUGUUACAAUCUAGGUCCAAAGAUACUCAUUGUAUUCAAAGUUAAACUAAGCUUUAGCUUCAAAGAUCCCGUCACACGACCUCGAGUCCUUUGGAUAACAAUCAGACAAUGCAAAACCACCCUCCAGAAACAUGAACACCACACCCCAAACACCAGAAACCCUUCCGAACUGCAAAAAUUAGAUGGAAUAAGACCUACUCCAGACUCAAUAUCCUGCUAUACUACACAUCAUAGGAUCAUCAAACCAACAUGCCAAAGAAUACGUACUACCGCCUCUAUUAUUUAUCCAUUGCCAAGACAUAAUCUUCACCAAAUCAAGAUCUCCUCUACCUCUUGAUCCUUUCCUUGAAAAAUGUGUCAAAUUAAUUUGUUAUAAUAAAAUUCAUCAAAAAUUAAAAAUUUAAGAAUAAAAAGUGUAAUUAAACCUACAAAAAGACAUCAAACAAGGGUGUAAACUCCUCAUCAGACAGACAUUUUAUUUGGAGUAUGGGGAUUUCAUAAUGGACUAAUUAAAUUAUUGAACAUAAGUGAUUGAUAUGUUAAAAUUAAGAUUAAAUCUUUAAGAUAUUAUUGAGUUUGAUGUUUAACAGUAAAAAUUAUUAAUCAGAUUUUAUUUAUCUUUCCUUGAAUUUCGAAUUAAUUAAGAUUAUUUUAAAAAAAUAAUAAUAAAAGGGACCAAACUUUGGGAAGUAAAACUGGUAUAGCUCCCGAGAAGAUAGUCAUUAUGGACAAAAAAAGUGUUCAUAAAUGGGCCCAUAAUGGCUUAGGUUCAAUGAUUCUGUUCUGUCCCAAACCACGGUGUUCUGUCAUCUCUGUUCUCUCUCUCACCAACGAACAAACCAAAUCCAACAAGACAACUCAAACAAACCAUUUUCAUUUCCCUCACUCUCUCUUUGCUUUCCCAAUCUCAUCUCAUCUCUCUCUCUCUCUCUCUGACCCAUCAUUCAAAUCUUAACUUUCAUUAAUCUUCUCUUCGUGGCUUAAGCCUAAGAAAAAUCACACACCCCCAUCACUGUUCACGGUCUUACCUUUCCUUCUAUUACUCAGGUACACCUCUUUUCUCUUUCAUUAGGUUUAGUACUAAACCCUUAAAUUAUAAUGGUUGGUUUCGUUUAAUAAUAAUAAUAAUAAUAAUAAUAAUAAUAAUAAUAAUAAUAAUAAUAAUAAUAAUGUAAGAAGAUUCUAAAUUUUGAAGUGCAAAAUGAUUGUUCUGUGCUGGUGAUAGUUUGAUUACAUGAAAAGUUGUAGUUUUUAGAUUGAAACUUAGGCUGUUUACUUCCGUGGAAUUGUGUGGUGCAAUGGGGUUUCUGUGUGUUGGGUUGAAGUUUAUUGCGGAAUCUGAGUGCCAAUUGAUGAGUUUUUUAGUGAUUUCAUUUGGCCAAUGAACUUGUGUGAUGAAUGAACAUGAAUCUGUGGAGUGUGCUUAGUUUUUUUGAUGGGUUAGUUAAUGGAUAUGACCUGAGGUGGGUGAGUUCUCUCUGUUUAGAUAAGUUCUGUGUAAUAUUGUAUGAGUCUUUUUGGUGGUUGGGAUAAUAUUAUAACUGAAUUUGUUUAAUGUGGUGGAAUGAAAGGAAUGAUUGAUUGAUGAGACAAUUUGAGGCGCUGUGACAGUGAUUCUGUUAAGAUCUUUUUUAAAUUGUCAUAAUAAGAUAUGGCAAAUAUGUUGUGCAUCAGUUUUUUUUUUUUAGCAAAGUUUGUGUAUGCUUUUUAGUUAUUCUCUAAAUGAAAAUAUUGAUAAUACAGAAUGGUCAUAUGUUUUCUCUUUAAAGUACCAGAUGGAUCUGCUUUAUGUAUUUUGGGACUAUUGUGAGAUUAGACAACCAGGAAGUGGGAUGAAUGCAUCCCUUUCUGAAACAUUGUGUAGUGUCAUUUUCUGUUUCCAUCAGUUCUGAGGUUAAAUUAUUUUAGAUACUGAGAUAAGUUGAUUUAGUCGUUGAAUGUUGAUCUAUGUCAGUCAUUCUGAUUUCACUGGACCAUCUAUUGGUACAGGUGUGAAAGGUUAAAGCAGAGUGUGAAUAUCAGGUCUUGUUCUUUUUUCGAAGGUGAUUCACUAUGUCGAUUAUUCUUGUGCAUAGGCUAAUACCAAGCUUCUAUAUCAGCACUUAACAGAUUAUGGCAUACUGAUUUUUGGCAUUUUAAUCUAUGCCAUCUGAUCUGACAUGAUUUCUCUACUUGUCUAAUCUCAAUUGUAAUUAAAAGAAAUCCGCUCUUGUCAAGGUACUCUCUCCCACUCUUGUGGGAAGACACAUGCAACUAUGAGCAACGCAUAUGUUAGCUCAACAAUAUAUGCUGUUAGGUGUAAAGAACCAUUUUCAUUAUCUUUCAAUGGCUACUCAAACUUCUGUUACGAAAGAUUUGACAGAACCCCAUCAUACUGUUUGUCAUGCUGUGGUUGUUGUGAUUACUGUUCAGUCUCCACUUACAGAGUACCCAUAAAGCCUUGCCUUAUAAAUGGCUUGAGGCAAUCUGCUCUUCUUCAAUUGUCAGCUUCUAGAAGGUUGAUAUUGGGUGGAGGAGACCAUUACCUUUCUCGGCUACCAGCUUAUGGUGUCCUCAGAGGUUGUCAGGAGCUUAAUUCUUCUGUCAAUGAGAGAACUGAUUAUAGUAGUAGUAGUAGAUGGAGAAUAAAGGGAAGAUAUAUUCGUGCUGCCUCCCAGAAAGGGAGAGAAUUUUCCCAUUCAUUUGGUUCUGAUGGUGCUGAAGCAGUUCUCAGCUUGUUGAGUGAGGAGGCAGAUAAGGAUGCUAUUUGUAGCAAAUGUAAGAAUGCGUCUUCAUCAAAAAGAGUGGAAGUUGAUAAAAGAAAAAAUGUGAGCAGAGAGAAACAUUUGAGUUCGAGUGAGAAAGUAGAAACAGAGAAAAAAGGAAUUUUGAAACGGCGUGAAUCAUCCUCCGUAGACUUGAGAAGAGAAUAUGGAAAAGCCAACCAAGAAAGGGAAGCCUUUGUAAAAAGUGAAAGCCAUAGGAAACGAAGAGAUGCAUCUAGUUGUUCAUCUUAUUACUCUCUCUCAUCAGGAGAUUUUGGGAGUGAGCUGGAAGUUCAAGAUGAGAUUGGUUUGGAAGAGUUGUCACUGGAAUAUGAGAAGGAUGAAGCAAAUUGUCUGGAGGAAGUGAAGGAAGAAUUCAACAGGCAAGGGGAUGACUCAAAGAAGCUGCAGGCUGUUUCAAAUAAGGGAAGAAUUGCAUUUGGUGUGGAUAUUGAUUGGAACCUAAGGAACAAAUCUGAAAAGAAGCUGAUUGAGGGAACUCUGCAAAACACUGAAUCCAUAAGAGAACAACAGGAUAUGCAUUCAAGAGAAUUUAGAACACAUGAUUCUGGUCAUAAAAAAUCAUCUAUUUCACAAAAGCGAGUCAAUAGUGAGGAAGAUAAAUCUUCUUUUAUUGACAAUUUGGAUAAGAAAGCAAACAAGGCAUAUAUUCAAACAGUAAACAGAAGAAAGCAUCAAUCUAUAGAUGUACAAGAGUCUGGUUGUGAUGAAGUUGAGACAACUUUGUUAUCACAAAAGAAAUUCAGUGGCAGGGAAGGGAAGCUUGAGAUAUCAGAAACAAUGUUGAAGGAAACAACUGAUGAAUAUAAAAAGUUUGUUGGUUCAACUUCUACCACAGGAAAGGAAACUUUGACAUCGAAGAAGGCAUUCAGUGGCAGGGAAGGGAACCUGGCAAUAUCAGAAACACUUUCACAAGAAACAAAUGAUAAACAUAAAAAAAUUGUUGGUUCUACUUCUACCUCUGGAAGGGAUGUGAUAGAUAGAAGUUCCCAGAAAUAUUCUGGAAAUUUAAAAAUUGAAGACACUGAAAGGACCUCAAAUACUAGGAUGAAGGACAUGGGAGUGAAAAAAGUUUCAGUUUUGAGUUCUGUUCAGGGAGUGGAUAAGCAGAAACACCAAAAAGGAGAGAAGAUCAUUACACAGAUGAAGGAUAAAGAGGGGAGAAAAAAAUCUGAGCAAUUUUCUGAAGUAUCAGAAGCUCACAAGUCUAAUGUUGAAGAUACAUCUAGCAUAAAGUCUAGAACUAGAUUAAAGAACAUGGAAGAAAAAUCAAACAUAAGCUCAGAUGCAAGGGUUACGUUGCUCCAAACAGAUAAAAGGACAACUCAGAGUUUCCAACACAGGAAAGGAUCUGAACUUGUCAGCACUUUAUCAGAAGGCUAUGUCAGUGAUGAAAAGCAAGUUUCAAGUUCUCAAAAAGCUUAUGAGAAGGUGAGAUUAAUUCCAAAAAGUAAAUCAACAUCACUUGUUAGAACUAGAGAAAGUUCUAGCCAAACUGAUGAAAGGAUUGCAAAAUUUGAAUUGGCCAGAGACGACCAAAGAUCUUGCAACCUUUCAAUUUCUGAUGAAACUAACUCAAGAGAGGAAUCCAGCUCCCAGGGAUCAUUGAGUUUGAUUUCUGGGGCUGGAAAACAUAGUAUAUUAGCAUCAGGUGAAAAAAGAAGGUCUGCAACAAUGUUGAUCCCUUCCUCUUCUGAAAUGGGUGGAGACUCAGUACAAUUUGAACUCACUGCAGGAAUUGCAAGCCCUGAGAUCUUCCUUGGAACUUCAGAAAGUGGUUCUUCUGCUUUGUAUGACAAUUCAGGAAGAAGUUCUGCUUUGCAUCCAGAUGCUAUCGAUUUAGCUAAUCGUUUAGAGAAGUCAUCUAGACAGUUUGUUGAUGAGUUUGCUGAGAGGGUCAUGCAUGAAGUAACGACUUCAGAAGCACAAGAGAUGGAAGUUACAGGAACAAAGUUGACACUUGAAGUUGGUGGUGAUCAGAUCUACAGCUCAAGGCAACAAGGCACUCAAAAUGACGCUCAGUCAAAGAAGCAUGAUUCUAGUCGUUCUUCUGGGUUUCCUGGGACAAAAGGACCUUCUGAUGAGAUGUGGGAUGUCAUGGAACCAUCUGUUGAGCAAGGUCAAGUAGCCAAAGAAACGGAUAUCAGCAAGGAAACAGGGAAAGCAGUUGUUACUAGAACUGGGAGGUCCUUAUGGGGUAUGAUUGGUGAUAUUGUUCAAUUACGUUGGGGUUCACGUGCUGGUUCCUCCACUUCAGCUGGAAGAUCAGCUGAGAGAAACUCACCAAACAAGUCUGACAGUGACACAUGGUUUUCUGGGCAGGAGCAUGAGGAAACCACUAAAACUAAUGUCUUAAAAAAAACAAGUGUACCACCACAAGUCAUGACUUCUGAUAAGUUAAAACCAGGUAAACAUUAUACCCAAAGUGAGGGAGAGGUGUCUGACAAUACAAAACUGAAAGACAGAGGAAAACAUCUCGAAGUUGGAUUGUCAUCCCCAAAUACAUUGGAAAGUGGAUCAAUGUCAGUAGGCGCUUCUCAUACUUCUGGAGAGGAAAAUGUUAGUGGGACUGAGGAUAAAAAAGAUUUGAAAGCCACUACUUCUGGCACACAAAACAUGGAAUUACCAAUUUCAGUACCUGCCAGAGGGCCUUCUAUUGAUGGAGAAAUUGUAAGCAUCGGUGGAUCUGACAUGUCUGGAGCUGAGUCAGUGGUUCCAAUCAAGGAAUCUAUUGCUCCUGUGCGGUCUGAAUUGUCCGGCUCAGAGAGAAAGGAUGGAGAGUUGAAGCAAAGAAAGUUUCAACGGAACAGGCAAGUCUUGAGAGAUAGGUUUGAUGACUGGGAAGAAGCCUAUCAAUGUGAACUUGAGCAGCGACGCAUAGAUGAAAUGUUCAUGAAGGAAGCACUUUUGGAAGCCAAGAAGGCUGCUGAUACAUGGGAGGUACCUGUUGGUGCUGUUCUUGUGCAGCAUGGGAAAAUUAUUGCUCGAGGCUGCAACUUGUAAGUGAGGAUAUUAUUUCAUUCUUUGUAAGUGUAAUGGAAUUAUUUCGUUCUUUGUAAUUGCCCUAGUUUUUAAUUUUUUUAUUUAUAUCUAAAUAUCUGUUCCAGAGUUGAAGAGUUACGGGACUCCACUGCCCAUGCAGAGAUGAUUUGUAUACGAGAAGCUUCAAAGCUUCUUCGAUCAUGGAGACUAUCAGUAAGUUUUCUAGUUGGAAAUUUAAAUCUAUUUUGAUAUCACACCGCCCAAAGUUUAAUAUUCAUUGUUGUGAUUCUCUUGUAUAAUUUUUAAGCUCAUAUGGCUAAUUUAACAUGUGACAAUAUUCCACCACUUUUAAGUUAAAGAGUAAAGACAUCUAUAGCUGCAGGUCUAAUAUUUAUUUUUACAGAACAAAGCAAGUUGCCAUUGCAAAGAUAUUUUUAAAUUUAAAUAAAAUUUAUAAAUAAAAAUAAAUUAAAUAGUACAUGUUUUCAUUAUUAAUAAUAAGUAUUUUAUUAUAUAAAAUAAGAAUAAAUUAAAGAGAUGGGGACUUUUAAAAUUGAGGACAUGAGAGAUCUAUCAAAAAAAUUAAAUAUCAUCAUUCAACUGGGGAAGUUGAGGCUUUUGUUAUUGUCGUCAUAAGUGCCUAUAAUAGAGUUUGAUAAACUCUGAUUUAUCAUUGAUCAGAAAAAUGAAAAGGCAAAUUACAAAGAAAAGAGUAAUCUCUAUAUAUAGAGAGUCUUAAAGUCUAACCGUAAACUAUCCCUAUAACUGACAGCUCACAGAUAAUGGAAAACAGAAUACACAAAGUAAAAACACUUUUAGUGGAAUAAGUAUACUCUAAUAGCCCAUGAUUAAAUAUCAUUAGACAUGUAGUGCCCUUCAUCCUUCAUCAUCACUGAGUAAACUAUUGACCAUUCAUAAUUUUACUUACGAAUAGUUGGUUGCUAUGCAGCUUUCUUAAUUCUUAUGUGGACUCAUUAAUUCAAGAACAAGGUUUAUUUGCAUGCAUGCAAUGGUGGAUAUCAUUAUCGAAAUGUCUAAUGUAAAAAUAUAUAUUAGCAAGAUAGAUUCAUGUUUAAAGAGGGUGAAAUUAUUGAAAGAGAAAAAAACAUUAGGAUCAGAUUACUUUAUAAUCUGUCACUCCCUAGUACUUCUAUCUAAUGACUGAUAAUGUUAAAAACCCUUGCUGUGGCAAUUUUUUUAUUUAAAAAGAAGAAAAUUCAUUAAGAAAAGUGAGAUAUACAAAGGUAGAAGGAUAAGAUAUCCCCCAUAAGAGAACUGGAAAAGGAAAAAAAAAUACAAAGAACAAGCAAAAUGGAGCUCAAGAAAAUCAGUGCACAAUGGCAGACCAAUCUUUAUUGGAAUCUGAAAUGGCAACCCCCUUAAAAGAGCUAGUGAGCCACACUCUAAAGAGAAGCCCAAAUUUUGAUUACUUUAUUAUCUAUUGCUAUUUAAUUUAACCAGUAUUAAUAAGUAAUGUUACUAAAAAUAAUGCUCCUGUAAAAAUAAAGAGAAUUUGACUAUAAUGGCAUGUUUAAUAACCUAAAGCAAUAUUUAUUUAGUACAGGGGAAUGAGAAUUGGAGUGAUAGUGAAAGAUUUUUGUAUUUGGACUUACCUGUGGUCCUGGUAGAUGAAUCAUUUCCUUCCUUUCAAUUAUUUCUUACCAAACAUUGCUUGAAGGAUCACUUAGUAAUAUGGUCUUUCUUGACAAAUGGUUGAUAUCUAUUAGUUGUGGUAUUUGAUACAACUUGAUAAUUAGGUUGAUGGUUCAUUUGUUUAAGGACAAAAUUUUCCCACUUUCAGGACACUACACUUUAUGUAACGCUUGAGCCAUGUCCAAUGUGUGCUGGUGCUAUCCUUCAGGCAAGAGUAGACACUGUUGUGUGGGGUGCUCCCAAUAAGCUUCUUGGAGCUGAUGGUAGCUGGAUUAGGUAUGCAGCCAAUGUGCUUCUUUUAUUUGUUUAUCAUUAUUUUGAUAAGGGAGUCUUUAUGGUUGUUUGUCAAUGUUUCAUGAAACUUCACCUAUAUUUGGCCGAAUUGGUCUCUACCUACCUUUAUUUUCCUGCUUGUUAUCUUCAGUUGAAUUGGCCGUGCCAUAAAAACACUAUGGAAAAAGAGGGAUUGCACACAUGUGCAUUAAAAUAUAUAUUAUUAUAAUUAGAAAAGGACCACAAUGCCCUCAACCAUAAUGCAUGUUAAACAUUUGGUAUUUGACUAUAUGGUCGCAGUUAAAAUUUUAUGUCUAAUCCCAUAUUUUUUAGAUUAAGAAAUCAUUAAUAAGCCUAUGAAACAUGGUUUUUACUUAGAGAAAAUAGUAUAUACAUUAACAUGUAAAGAUUUUUUUUUACAAUGUCAUCUAAUCACAAAUUAUUAUGUAUGAUCAAUUUGUUGAUUUUUAUAAUAACUAUUUUAAAAGUUAUAUCAAGGAUACUUUGUAAUUGGUUAAUAACAGUUUAAAAACUUUUACACUGACCGUGCUUGUUUAUUAAACUCUUUUUCUUAUGUUAUAUAGAUGUCAUUUCUGUUUACAACUCCAUUGUCAACAUCUUUUUACUUUCCUCCUAAUUUACCUUUUCAGAACCUUAAUGAGUUGCAUUUCUUCAAAUGUACUGGGAUUACAACAUAAUCAGGGCUGGGGUUUCCAAUUGUUUUCCCAACUGAAAUUGAGUCCCUUUUUGGAUAUUUUCUUGAAAGCUCAGCACAUGAAAUGUUCUUGAAAGCUCAGUACAUCGAAUAUUACAGCUCUUUCUUGAACCUUAUUUCUGCAGAAUUUUCCCUGAUGGAGGAGAAAAUGUAUCAGAACAAAGAGAUAUGCCACCUGCCCCAGUUCAUCCAUUCCAUCCAAACAUGAAAAUAAGAAGAGGGGUCUUAGCCACUGAGUGUGCAGAUGCAAUGCAGCAAUUCUUUCAGCUUAGAAGGAAAAAGAAGAAAGAGGAACCACCGAAUGGCCCUUCUAGCCUUCCUGUUACUCACCACCCAUCCAAGUUACUCAACAAGAUACAUGACGUCUUCCACAUCAUGUUCUGUUUGUAAAAGAGAAUAUUCACAUAUUUUCCCAUGUUUUAAAUGAGCUUCUAAAUAAAAUAAUCAAACAUGAAUGAAUGAUCAUUGUGAAAAGUACAAUGCUCAAUUUCUUUAAGAGUAUUCAAUCAGUUAAGCUGUCAAAGACAAUAAUUUCAGACGUUGCCUACUUUAAUUUCAAGUAAUGACUUCAAACGCUUAGGAUGAUGACUAGAUUGUAAUGAUAUAGUAAAGCCUGUCUGUCAUUGUUCCCUUUCAUUUUUUUUUGGAAAGGGUGAUUGGGUGAGAAUUUGAGAUCACUUGCAAGAAACAGAAACCUAGUAGAGUAUGUAGAAAGAUUGAAUUGCUGAUGAAACAUUACAAUCACCAUGGUAAGUUGAACCAUCAAGUAUUUACAGAAAGUGAUAGAGACCUGGUACUUACAUAUAGGUAUGUGUAGAAAAUAGUAGGUGAAAUUAUGUUCUCAUUAACAUGAAACUUUUUUUAAUUCAUUACAUCCCUCCUUGCCUAAUCCACCCAACCUUUUGUCCUGGCAAAUCUGAAAAAUAAUUAAGUCUACUUAAAACACAAGUUAGGCCAUAACCAUAAUAUUAACUUUGAAUGAGUGAGCCUGUGAUAAAAUUCUAAACGACUAGGACUUAUGAUUUCAAGGGUCCCCCUUGAUGCGAAGGAAGCUACUACUAUUUGUCUGUUUCCUUUGUUAACGUUACUUGUUAGAUGAUUAAUAAUAAAAUGAUGUCACAAUCACAUGAAGGCUACAUUUUUCCUUCCACAGAUAGUCCAAACCAUACGUUUCAACCUUGUGCUGCACAUUAGUUCAAAUAUAAGAAGCAAACUCUUCAUUCAAAACCAGAUCACAACAUACAAUGGCUGCAGUGUUCUGGGCUUUGGCUUUAGUAAGCCUCUGCUGCCAGCUACCUUCCAAUGCCCAAGCACCUGCAUCUGUGCCGGCAAACUCGCCACCUACAACCCUAGCUGCAACAUCCCCGUCUUCUGGCACGCCACCGGCAGUAACACAGGCAGCAUCCCCUCCCACCACAAGUAAUCCACCAACUAUUUCCCAGCCACCUGCAAUUGUAGCUCCCAAACCUGCUCCAGUGACACCACCUGCUCCAAAAGUUGCACCAGCUUCAAGCCCAAAAGCACCAACACCCCAAACUCCACCACCACAACCACCAAAAGUAUCACCUGUCGCAGCUCCCACAUUGCCACCCCCACUACCUCCACCACCUGUUGCUACGCCACCGCCGUUGCCACCACCAAAGAUAGCUCCAACACCGGCCAAAACAUCCCCUGCACCUGCACCAGCAAAGGCAACACCAGCACCUGCUCCUGCACCUACAAAGCCGGCUCCAACACCAGCUCCCAUUCCUCCACCGCCAACACUGGCACCAACUCCAAUAGUAGAGGUACCAGCACCUGCGCCAUCGUCACAUAAGCAUAGAAGGCACAGGCACAGGCACAAGAGACAUCAAGCACCAGCUCCAGCACCAACAGUUAUUCACAAAAGUCCUCCGGCACCACCUGAUUCCACAGCAGAAUCAGACACAACACCAGCACCAUCACCAAGUCUGAAUUUGGUAAUAUCUUUGUCUAGUGAAAUAUCAAAUUACAUUAAAAUUACACACAAAUAUGUCUCAUCUGUUUCACAUUGUUUUGAUCACAUUUUUUACUUCCUCAUUUCACAGAAUGCUGCACCAUCAAACCACCAGCAAAGGAGUAUACAGGCAACGGCUGCACUUGCCAUCACUGUUUUGCUAGCCGUCACCAGCUACAGCUGCUAGCAGCCUCAUGGAGACCAUGGAUUCACUUUAAUGAGUUAUUUGGCUUGCAAAAUAUAUAAUCAUUUAAUGUGUAUAGAUCUGAAUCAUGAGAAUCUAUACCUAUGAUUCUUUUUUUUUUUUUUUAUUGUUGUUAUCUUUGCUCAGAAAUAUUAAUGGAUAUGAAUUUUUGAAUUAUGACAAUAAUCUGGAGAUGUUAAACAAAAUGUCUCUAGUUUUAUAAGUUAUUUCAUCAAACUUGAUCAGUUUCUGAGUCUAUGUUUAUUUUCUCCCGAAAGUCAUAAAACUCCCUGAUAAGUCCAAGAUUGUCAACUAAUUUGUUAUGCCUUAGAUAUCCUGCACACUAGUAAGAUGAAAUUCCCAUCAAUUACUUACAAAGAAUAUGUAUUUGCAUAACACUAACUUUACAAAAUAUGUCUAUAAAGAAUGAAGGAAAGCAUGAGAAAAUAAUAUGACCAUCAUCAAUAAGGUUUCCAAAGACAAACGCAUACUCAGCAGCACAAGAUUAAAAUGUAACCACAAAACUGGUCGCUAGACAAUGAGCACAUAUAAAACUUUAACACACUUGCACACAUUACCCAUUCCAUAAGUUAAUGAACUUUCAGAACAAGUUGACACACAGCAAUGCAAUCCAGUUACUCCCUUUGUAUGAUAAACACCAGACUCAACCAGGAGAGGGUAGAUGGCUGGAAAUUUAUUUUUCAAUUCCUGAAGGAAAAAAAUUGGUGUUCCAUUUUGAUAUUUUAUAGAAUAAAGAUAUGGUGAACAUUAAUAUGUUACAUACACAUAAACAGGGAUCGGAUAUGGCAAGUUGGCAACUAGUGAGAGGUUGAUGAACCAACAAAGAUAGUCUUAAUUUAAAAUACCAAACUUGGCGGAAACGUGAUUCCGUUAUAUACAUUUUUUUUGUACUUCUAAAAAGGUGUUUUCAGAAUUAUGUUAGCAUAAUUUCAGAAAGGUGUUUCCAGAAUGCAUGUUAUUUUUGUAGAAAAGCUACUAUGAAAAAACUUUUCUGGAAAUUGAUUUUGGAAACUUGUUUAUGGAAAACAUGAAUUUUGUUUUCCAGAAAAGUCUUUCCAGAAUUAUGCUAACAUAAUUUUGAAAAGGUGUUUUUGGAAUACAAAAAUCAUGUUUGUGUGGUGCUGAUGUCUGUGUGUUGUUUGCAAGGUGUUGGGUGGUAUUGGGUGGUUGCAACUGUGGUGGUGGUAGUGUUUGGGUGUGUAGUUAGCUGGAGAUGGGUUAUGCAUGGGAGAGGCAAGGGUAUUAUCGUUCAUUUGAGACUUUUUGGGGGGUGUAGGAAGUAAAAGCUUCCCAUGUGUCUUAUGUUUUUAAAAUUUGACUUAGUUUUUGGAUAAGGGAGUUGUUGUUCUCAUCCUCUAAAAUGCUAUUCUCACCCUUUUCAUUUUGGAAAAUUGUAAGAAGAUAAUGUUAUCUGUAACAUCCCAUUUUUUUCAUAGAUUAAUUCAAAAAAAGUUGUUAUUUGUAAAUAAAUAAGUUUUAUGAUAAGGUUUUUGUAAUUAAAUAAAUAAAGAGAAAUAAGUGUAUUAAAAUAAUAGUUUGAUAAAAAAAAUAAAGAGGAUAUUUUAUUUAUUCAUCUGAUAGAGAAUAAAAUAGAGUUUGUUUUUAUAAAAUAAUAAAAAUAAAUAAAAUAAUAGGUUGUGAGUACCCUAGGUAUAAAUAACGAUAUGUUAGGUCAGGAAAACGACGAUCUCGGACUCAUUCACCGUUGUAUCAUAGUGAAAUUUGAGCACCACGUUCGCAACCCAAUUCUGAGCAUUCUCACCGUUGGGAAUUGCAAAAACAUGUCGAAGCUAAGAGAAAUACCCUUUGCAUCGUAGCUUUCUCUUUUCUCGUAGAAACCCAAAACGGUCUCAGUAAAACUAUGAUCUCAGUUUCAUUAACCGUUGGAUUUUCAUGAAAUUUUAAUUUGUAGUUUGCAAUUCAAUUCCACACACUUUCACCAUUGGGAUUUGCGAGAUAAUAUUCACUGAGAGAGAAAAAGGAAUCGCACGAAGACAGUACAUAUGAAGGCUUCAAUCCCUUCUCUGUCUCUCUGACAUUUGGAAACUCUAUCAGAGCAGUCGGAGGAAAAACUGGAGGAAUCUUAGGGAACCGCUAGAGAUGCAGCUAUCGCUGUCGGAAGACACGUGAUUCUGCUUAGAGGUAAGGGAUGAGUUAUUCACAAUUGAAGGUUAGUGAAAACAUGUGUAGAGAUCCUUAAAGGAUUAAAUUGGGAUUUUAUUUUUGGAUGUUUAUUAAAUUGCAAUUUUUCCUUUAUAAUUAUAAAUAAAAUAUUGAUGUUCUGAUGAGAAUUGCUUGAUAAAUUAUGUUCUUGAUAUUUGUAUAUUUUGACCUAUGAUUUUGAUAUAAUUGUGUAAUAUUAUUUGAAGGGUUUUAGUCCCCAAGUUGUGAUAGUCUUUUGUAUAAAUUGUUAUAUUGAGGAUAUGAAAUGAUGAUUCAAAUUGUGAUUAUGUGGUGGAUUGAACAUGUGAUGAAUGAUGGAAUACAUGUAUAUUGAGAUGUGUAUUGUGUUGUGAGCUAUGAAUUGUGAAAUCACACAAUUGUAAGACCCUUUAAGGGCGAUGAGUUUUAUGCGACGAGUAUUGUGAUGUGAUCCAUUGUGGAAACCCGACAAGUUUAAUCACAAGCGCGACGAGUUAAAAUGGUUUUGAAAAUAAUUGAGUAGUUGUGUGUAUUGCAUAAUUCACAGGUAAAGUGAAUAUGAUUCGUGAGUCUGAUAACAUGCUAUUUUGAGAUUAUACCAUUCUAAUUGAGAUCGAGUGUAUGUGAUAAACUGAGUAUGCGCAUGAUUGAGAUGUUGUGUGCAUUGAGUUGUAAACUGUGGAUUGUACAAUCGCACGAUUAUUAGACCCUUUAAGGGCGACGAGUUAAUGUUAAGACCCUUAAAGGGGGACGAGUUAAAAAUAUUUAAGAACAAUUGAGGAGUCGUGUGUUUUGUAUAGUUCAUAGAUAGAGUCUGUGUGCUAAAAUAUUUUCUGGGUUGGACCUGAAUCAGGAAGGAGAGGCCCUGACGGACUCUUCACAGUGUAGGCUUUGUGGGUCACCCGGUUUGAGUGCUCCUUUAAGCCUGUGCCGAUCCCACAUGGUUGGAGCAUUCUCGCAAAACACUGUGACCCUGACUGGUCUCCCUAUGAUAUUACCUUGUGAGAGUGACUUGACUUGCUAGUGUGUGGUUUGUCUUGUCAUAUACUCCUAGGCGCCCGACGAGAUUUUUCACUGACAUGGUACCACAUUGCAUAUAAGAUUAAGUCUUAGUGUAUCUGCUGCAUAACACUUGUGUAUUGUUCUAUAUUGAUUGAUUUGAUGAUAAUGUGUUUUGACUAUUAAGUAUGCGAAUGUCGUGAAAACGAAUGAGACGUGUGGUGAAAUAACGUGAGUUAUGCUCAAGUAAAUUGUAUUUUGUUAUAUAAUAUUUAUACCUAUAUGUUGUCUUAUUUUUCUCUAUUAGUUAGGAAUGUGAUAACUUACUUCCUGUGUGUUGUUUGUGUUUGGAUCCUGUGAUGAUCUUGAACUUUAUGUUCGGGGGAGCAGAUGAUUAAGUGAAUUUCUUUAAGGAACCUUGUGUUGAAGGACGUUGGGACACAAUGCUCUAAUAAGAUGUGACAUUAGGAUAUAAGUUACUAUAUUAAUUGUAUGAGGUCUUUGACAACCUUGUUUUGAGCCGAAAUGAUUUAUUAAUUAUUUGAACAAGUUUUAUUAUGAAUUAGAGAAGUGAAUGUGAGCCUUUUAUCCUUUUGAGAGACUUGUAUUUAAAUGUAUUUUAAAAACUUUUAAUUAAAUCUGAUCUCUUAUUUCUUUUAUUUAUUUAUAUAAAUGUCGGGGUAGAGGGUGUCACAUUAUCUCUCUUCAGUUUCCCUUCACCUUUCUCUUUCCCUUCCCAUUCUUGCUACUGCACCCCCCCCCCCCCCCCUCCAACUCAUCACCUUUUUUCGAUGUUUUGGUGCCAACAAAAACAUGAUUUGGUUGUUACUCCACCAUGGAAUCAUGAUUUUGUUUUGAGUAGAACAUAGUCAUAUUUUGUUGUACAAUUGUAUAUGCAUAAUGAAAAUUUUUUUUUGUGUUUCUCAAUUGAAACACUCAUUGAAAAUCGUAUUUUCAUUAUGGAUUUACAAAUGAUACAUAAGGAAAAUAUGAUUUUGUUGUGUUUUUCAAAAUAAUUGUAUUUUUUAGGAAUUAAAAUCAUAUUUAAGCUUUUAAAUUUUGGAGAACCAAGAACAAAAUAUGACUCAACUUUAAAAUACUAAAAAUAUAUUUAAAUCUUUUUUUAAAAUCAGCUCUAUUUCCACUCCUUCCUUCUGUUUCUCGGUUGUUCCCUGCUACCAAACAUAGAGUGCAAGUCUCCAAUGAUUUUGACUUCCAAAAAUCCCGACCUCAAACUUCUAAAAGCUAUAAGCUCUUUCCUCUUCUCAUUAAGGCCUUAAGUGGGUUUUAAUUCGCACAUUUUGCACCUAACUUUACUUAUCAUAAACUAUUUAAUCAUACACUCAACGCUGAAAUACAAGCGCUCGACACUUAAACAUAGUAAAUUCAAUGCUUUGUCAGUACCUGACGCUCUCAAAGGCACCUAACGCUGCAUGAAAGACUAGCAUGUAGUGUACAUUGGCUUCAUUUUCUAGAAUUUUCCUAGUAAAUAAAUAUAAAAAAAAAUACUACUAAAAAGUUGAGGUUACUUUCUUAACGUAUAAAAUACUAAAAACAUGCAAUAAAGCUUUAAAACAUAGAGACAUAUGUAUAAAAUACGCUAUAAAUUUACAUUAAUUCUAGCUAGGUUUAUCAGUGUAAACAUUUUAUGUGUUUUCCCUCAAACCUUCCCAGCCACGUAAUAUGAUUAAUAUCCAAGGUUUUGUGGUGCUAUUGAGGUGUUGUCUUACCAAGGAGACAUAUUCCCUUUUUUUUUUUAUCGUUAUACUUACAUUUCGAAAAUACAUAGAUAAAAUGUAAAAUAUAGAUACAUUGAUUCCCAUUUCAAUUCAGAUUCAUUUAAUUCAAAAUCCACUUAAUAUAAGUACAAAAUGGUGUAACCCUUAACCGCAUGAUAACUUUGGUGGGUUCAUAAUAACUUCGGAUGACUUACUAAAGAUCAUGACAGCAUUAAAAUUGUUACAUAAUAACAAUGAUAUGCUGCAAUGAAAAUUAUUAUAGCUUUUCCAUUUUUUUUAAAUAUUUCAAACCGUUGUACGAGGUAAAUAUAUGUUCCCAUCUUUACAAGUUUUGGUUUAGUCUACCUUAUUCUUUUCAAGAUCAGGAGCCAACUUUGAACCAAUAAGGGCUGGCCCCAGAGAUAUCCUUCUAAGAAAGGGCAAGAGUUAACCUUUCGGAUUGAAAACGAUUGUGGCAGUGCCUCUUAGAGUGGUUGUCUCAAUGCAACACCUCUAGUAUGAAGUAUAAACCACUGAGAAAUUGAUGUUUAAUUGGUUGAAAUAGCUAAUUACUUUGUCUUCAUCCACUUGUAGUCAUUAAGAAACAAUUCAACACUUCAAUCACAGGUAUUCUUUUAUGAAUUUAGAUAAAAUCUUCAGAGUAAAGAUAAUUCUAUACCAUCAUUCAAAUUAGUAAAUGAAAUUAUGUUCUCAUUAACAUGAAACCCUUUAUUCCUUUUUACCCUCCUUGCCCCAUCCUACAUCCACCCAACCUUUUAUCUCAUUAAACAUGAAAAUUAAGUCUACUUAAAAUACAAGUUAGGCCAUAACCAUAAUAUGAACGUUGAAUGUGUGAAGCUUUGAUAAACAUCUAAAUGACUAGGACUUCUGAUUUCCCUCAUUGAUGCAAGGGAAACUACAUUGUACCUCUACUUUUUCCAUUGUUAACGUUCCUUGUUAGAUGAUUAAUAUUUAAAUUGUCACAAUCACAUGAAGGCUACAUCUUUCCUUCCACACAUAGUCCACACCAUACGUUUCAACCUUGAGCUUCAUCAAAGCCCAUAAUAUAAGAAGCAAACUCUCCAUUCUCAACCAUAUCACAACAUUCAACAUACAAUGGCUGCAAUUUUCUGGGCUUUGGCUAUAAUAAGCCUCUGCUGCAAGCUAGAUUGCAAUGCUCAAGCACCAGCAACUGUGCCGGUAAAGUUGCCACCUACAACUUUGCCACCUACAACCCCAACUGCAACAUCUCCAUCUUCCAGCACGCCACUGGCGGUAACACAACCACCCACAGUGGUGGCAUCCCCUCCCACCACGAGUACACCACCAACCACAUCCCAGCCACCUGCAAAUGUAGCUCCCAAACCUGCUCCUGUGAAACCAUCAGCUCCCAAAGUUGCACCUGCUUCAAGCCCAAAAGCCCCACCACCUCAAAUUCCAAUACCACAACCACCAAAACCUUCACCGGUCUCACCACCCCCGCUACCACCACCACCUGUUGCGUCACCACCACCAUUACCACCACCAAAGAUAGCACCAACACCAGCUAAAACACCUCCAUCCCCUGCACCAGCAAAGGCAACACCAGCACCUGCACCCGCACCCACAAAGCCGGCACCAACACCAUCACCUGUUCCUCCACCGCCAGCCGCAACUCCAGCACCAGCACCAGUGAUAGAGGUACCAGCGCCAGCGCCAGCGCCAGUGAUAGAGGUACCGGCUCCAGCGCCUGCACACCAUAGGCAUAGAAGGCACAGGCACAGACACAGACACAGAA
rnacentral:lncRNA from 1 species